UACAGAGGGUGCAAGCGUUAAUCGGAAUUACUGGGCGUAAAGCGUGCGUAGACGGUUAUUUAAGUCAGGUGUGAAAGCCCAGGGCUCAACCUUGGAAUUGCAUUUGAGACUGAAUAGCUAGGGUGCGGAAGAGGGAAGCGGAAUUUCCGGUGUAGCGGUGAAAUGCGUAGAUAUCGGAAGGAACACCAGUGGCGAAAGCGGCUUCCUGGUCCAGCACCGACGUUCGGGCACGAAAGCGUGGGGAGCAAACAGG
rnacentral:rRNA from 1 species